GGACUACACGGGUUUCUAAUCCUGUUUGCUCCCCAUGCUUUCGCGCCUCAGCGUCAGUUUCAGCCCAGUAAACCGUUUUCACCACCGAUGUUCCUCCACAUAUCUACGCAUUUCACCGCUACACGUGGAAUUCCGUUUACCCUAACUGUACUCUAGUCAGACAGUUUCAAAUGCAGCUCCGGGGUUGAGCCCCGGAAUUUCACAUCUGACUUAUCUAACCGCCUACGCGCCCUUUACGCCCAGUAAUUCCGAUCAAUGCUUGCACCCUCCGUAUUACCGCGGCGGCUGGCAC
rnacentral:rRNA from 1 species